GAUGAACGCUGGCGGCGUGCCUAAUACAUGCAAGUCGAGCGAACAGAUGAUGAGCUUGCUCCUCUGACGUUAGCGGCGGACGGGUGAGUAACACGUGGAUAACCUACCUAUAAGACUGGGAUAACUUCGGGAAACCGGAGCUAAUACCGGAUAAUAUAUUGAACCGCAUGGUUCAAUAGUGAAAGACGGUUUUGCUGUCACUUAUAGAUGGAUCCGCGCCGCAUUAGCUAGUUGGUAAGGUAACGGCUUACCAAGGCAACGAUGCGUAGCCGACCUGAGAGGGUGAUCGGCCACACUGGAACUGAGACACGGUCCAGACUCCUACGGGAGGCAGCAGUAGGGAAUCUUCCGCAAUGGGCGAAAGCCUGACGGAGCAACGCCGCGUGAGUGAUGAAGGUCUUCGGAUCGUAAAACUCUGUUAUUAGGGAAGAACAACUGUGUAAGUAACUAUGCACGUCUUGACGGUACCUAAUCAGAAAGCAACGGCUAACUACGUG
rnacentral:rRNA from 1 species